AUGCCAUACGAUCUAAAGUUUGACACAAAGUAUUACUAUGAUGUUGGAACUAAAGAGACGCUGAAAAAGAUUUGGUUUAGGACCCCUCCGAAAAGUGGCCCAGAUGUUCCAUAUACAUUUGGUCUGAUAGGUGAUCUCGGUCAGAGUUUUGACUCCGAUGUCACACUCACUCAUUAUGAGUCCAAUUCAAAAGCCCAGGCAGUGCUUUUCGUUGGGACCUGA
rnacentral:rRNA from 1 species